rnacentral:rRNA from 1 species
GAUGAACGCUGGCGGCGUGCUUAACACAUGCAAGUCGAACGAAGAUGCCGGAGUGCUUGCACUUUGGCAGACUGAGUGGCGGACGGGUGAGUAACGCGUGGGUAACCUGCCUUAUACAGGGGAGUAACAGUUGGAACGAACUGCUAAUAACCGCAUAAGCGCACGGUAUCGCAUGAUACAGUGUGAAAACUACCGGUGGUAUAAGAUGGACCCGCGUCUGAUUAGCUUGUUGGUGAGGUAACGGCCCACCAAGGCGACGAUCAGUAGCCGGCCUGAGAGGGUGAACGGCCACAUUUGGGACUGAGACACGGCCCAAACUCCUACGGGAGGCAGCAG